rnacentral:rRNA from 1 species
UGGGGAAUAUUGGACAAUGGGCGAAAGCCUGAUCCAGCCAUGCCGCGUGUGUGAAGAAGGCCUUCGGGUUGUAAAGCACUUUAAGUGGGGAAAAAGGUUCGGCAGUUAAUACCUGUCGGAAUUGAUACUACCCACAGAAUAAGCACCGGCUAACUCUGUGCCAGCAGCCGCGGUAAUACAGAGGGUGCAAGCGUUAACCGGAAUUACUGGGCGUAAAGCGCGCGUAGGCGGCUGCCUAAGUCGGGUGUGAAAGCCCCGGGCUCAACCUGGGAACUGCACUCGAUACUGGGCGGCUAGAGUAUGAAAGAGGGAGGUAGAAUUCCACGUGUAGCGGUGAAAUGCGUAGAUAUGUGGAGGAAUACCGGUGGCGAAGGCGGCCUCCUGGUUCAAUACUGACGCUGAGGUGCGAAAGCGUGGGGAGCAAA